AACGAACGUUAGCGGCGCGCCUAACACAUGCAAGUCGCACGAGAAAGGGCUUCGGCCCCGGUAAAGUGGCGCACGGGUGAGUAACACGUGGGUAAUCUGCCCUCGAGCUGGGGAUAACGGUCCGAAAGGACCGCUAAUACCGAAUAAGACCACGACCUCGAAAGGGGAUGCGGUCAAAGCUGGCCUCUAUUCAUAAGCUAGCACUUGAGGAUGAGCCCGCGGCGCAUCAGCUGGUUGGUGAGGUAAUGGCUCACCAAGGCUAAGACGCGUAGCUGGUCUGAGAGGAUGAUCAACCACACUGGAACUGAGACACGGUCCAGACUCCUACGGGAGGCAGCAGUGGGGAAUCUUGCGCAAUGGGCGAAAGCCUGACGCAGCGACGCCGCGUGAGUGAUGGAGGCCUUCGGGUUGUAAAGCUCUGUGGGGAGAGACGAAUAAGUGCGGCCUAAUACGUUGCAUGAUGACGGUAUCUCCUUAGCAAGCACCGGCUAACUCUGUGCCAGCCGCCGCCGUAAAAC
rnacentral:rRNA from 1 species